rnacentral:rRNA from 1 species
UCCAGACUCCUACGGGAGGCAGCAGUGGGGAAUAUUGCACAAUGGGGGAAACCCUGAUGCAGCAACGCCGCGUGAGUGAAGAAGUAUUUCGGUAUGUAAAGCUCUCUCAGCAGGGAAGAAGAAGGACGGUACCUGACUAAGAAGCCCCGGCUAACUACGUGCCAGCAGCCGCGGUAAUACGUAGGGGGCGAGCGUUAUCCGGAUUUACUGGGUGUAAAGGGAGCGUAGACGGUUAAUCAAGUCUGAAGUGAAAGCCCGCGGCUCAACUGCGGAACGGCUUUGGAAACUGAGUAACUGGAGUGCUGGAGGGGCAGGCGGAAUUCCUGGUGUAGCGGUGAAAUGCGUAGAUAUCAGGAGGAACACCGGUGGCGAAGGCGGCCUGCUGGACAGUAACUGACGUUGAGGCUCGAAAGCGUGGGGAGCCAACAGGAUUAGAUACCCGAGUA